GGUUAAGCGACUAAGCGUACACGGUGGAUGCCCUGGCAGUCAGAGGCGAUGAAGGACGUGCUAAUCUGCGAUAAGCGUCGGUGAGGUGAUAUGAACCGUUAUAACCGGCGAUUUCCGAAUGGGGAAACCCAGUGUGUUUCGACACACUAUCAUUAACUGAAUCCAUAGGUUAAUGAGGCGAACCGGGGGAACUGAAACAUCUAAGUACCCCGAGGAAAAGAAAUCAACCGAGAUUCCCCCAGUAGCGGCGAGCGAACGGGGAGGAGCCCAGAGCCUGAAUCAGUGUGUGUGUUAGUGGAAGCGUCUGGAAAGGCGCGCGAUACAGGGUGACAGCCCCGUACACAAAAAUGCACAUACUGUGAGCUCGAUGAGUAGGGCGGGACACGUGGUAUCCUGUCUGAAUAUGGGGGGACCAUCCUCCAAGGCUAAAUACUCCUGACUGACCGAUAGUGAACCAGUACCGUGAGGGAAAGGCGAAAAGAACCCCGGCGAGGGGAGUGAAAAAGAACCUGAAACCGUGUACGUACAAGCAGUGGGAGCCUCUUAAUGGGGUGACUGCGUACCUUUUGUAUAAUGGGUCAGCGACUUAUAUUCUGUAGCAAGGUUAACCGAAUAGGGGAGCCGAAGGGAAACCGAGUCUUAACUGGGCGUUAAGUUGCAGGGUAUAGACCCGAAACCCGGUGAUCUAGCCAUGGGCAGGUUGAAGGUUGGGUAACACUAACUGGAGGACCGAACCGACUAAUGUUGAAAAAUUAGCGGAUGACUUGUGGCUGGGGGUGAAAGGCCAAUCAAACCGGGAGAUAGCUGGUUCUCCCCGAAAGCUAUUUAGGUAGCGCCUCGUGAAUUCAUCUCCGGGGGUAGAGCACUGUUUCGGCAAGGGGGUCAUCCCGACUUACCAACCCGAUGCAAACUGCGAAUACCGGAGAAUGUUAUCACGGGAGACACACGGCGGGUGCUAACGUCCGUCGUGAAGAGGGAAACAACCCAGACCGCCAGCUAAGGUCCCAAAGUCAUGGUUAAGUGGGAAACGAUGUGGGAAGGCCCAGACAGCCAGGAUGUUGGCUUAGAAGCAGCCAUCAUUUAAAGAAAGCGUAAUAGCUCACUGGUCGAGUCGGCCUGCGCGGAAGAUGUAACGGGGCUAAACCAUGCACCGAAGCUGCGGCAGCGACACUAUGUGUUGUUGGGUAGGGGAGCGUUCUGUAAGCCUGUGAAGGUGUACUGUGAGGUAUGCUGGAGGUAUCAGAAGUGCGAAUGCUGACAUAAGUAACGAUAAAGCGGGUGAAAAGCCCGCUCGCCGGAAGACCAAGGGUUCCUGUCCAACGUUAAUCGGGGCAGGGUGAGUCGACCCCUAAGGCGAGGCCGAAAGGCGUAGUCGAUGGGAAACAGGUUAAUAUUCCUGUACUUGGUGUUACUGCGAAGGGGGGACGGAGAAGGCUAUGUUGGCCGGGCGACGGUUGUCCCGGUUUAAGCGUGUAGGCUGGUUUUCCAGGCAAAUCCGGAAAAUCAAGGCUGAGGCGUGAUGACGAGGCACUACGGUGCUGAAGCAACAAAUGCCCUGCUUCCAGGAAAAGCCUCUAAGCAUCAGGUAACAUCAAAUCGUACCCCAAACCGACACAGGUGGUCAGGUAGAGAAUACCAAGGCGCUUGAGAGAACUCGGGUGAAGGAACUAGGCAAAAUGGUGCCGUAACUUCGGGAGAAGGCACGCUGAUAUGUAGGUGAAGCGACUUGCUCGUGGAGCUGAAAUCAGUCGAAGAUACCAGCUGGCUGCAACUGUUUAUUAAAAACACAGCACUGUGCAAACACGAAAGUGGACGUAUACGGUGUGACGCCUGCCCGGUGCCGGAAGGUUAAUUGA
rnacentral:rRNA from 1 species